rnacentral:rRNA from 1 species
CCCUUAGAUGUUCUGGGCCGCACGCGCGCUACAAUGAUGAAUUCAACGAGUUUAUAACCUUGGUUGAAAAGCCUGGGUAAUCUUUUGAACUUUCGUCGUGAUGGGGCUAGACCCUUGCAAUUAUUGGUCUCCAACGAGGAAUUCCUAGUAAACGCAAGUCAUCAGCUUGCAUUGAUUACGUCCCUGCCCUUUGUACACACCGCCCGUCGCACCUACCGAUUGAAUGGUCCGGUGAGCCAUUCGGACUUUCAUCAUGCUGGUUUCCAGUUUUGAUGAAGGAAAGUCUUGCGAACCUUAUCAUUUAGAGGAAGGAGAAGUCGUAACA